rnacentral:rRNA from 1 species
AUGACGAACGCUGGCGGCGCGCUUAACACAUGCAAGUCGUACGGUGCCCUUCGGGGUUCAGUGGCGAACGGGUGCGUAACACGUGAGUGACCUGCCCUUGUGCGGGGGAUAACCCGGGGAAACCCGGGCUAAUACCGCAUGUAUUCUUUUGGCUUCAUGGCUGGGAGAAGAAAGUGUGCUUUACGGCAUCGCGCAGGGAGGGGCUCGCGGCGUAUCAGGUAGUUGGUGAGGUAACGGCUCACCAAGCCUAUGACGCGUAGGGGGUCUGAGAGGAUGGCCCCCCACAUUGGGACUGAGAUACGGCCCAGACUCCUACGGGAGGCAGCAGUGGGGAAUCUUGCGCAAUGGCCGAAAGGCUGACGCAGCGACGCCGCGUGCGGGAUGAAGCUUUUCGGAGUGUAAACCGCUGUCAGGUGGGACGAAGGUCCCGGGGAGGAAAUGCCCUGGGGAUGACGGUACCACCAAAGGAAGCACCGGCUAACUUCGUGCCAGCAGCCGCGGUAAUACGAAGGGUGCAAGCGUUGUUCGGAAUUAUUGGGCGUAAAGCGCACGUAGGCGGCCUUGUAAGUCUCACUGUGAAAGUCCGGGGCUCAACCCCGGGAUGCCAGGGGAUACUGCGAGGCUGGAGACAAGCAGAGGUUGGUAGAAUUCCGGGUGUAGCGGUGGAAUGCGUAGAGAUCCGGAGGAAUACCAGAGGCGAAGGCGGCCAACUGGGCUUGUUCUGACGCUGAGGUGCGAAAGCGUGGGGAGCGAACAGGAUUAGAUACCCUGGUAGUCCACGCCGUAAACGAUGGGCACUAGGUGUCGGAGGUGUCGACUCCUCCGGUGCCGUAGCUAACGCAUUAAGUGCCCCGCCUGGGGAGUACGGCCGCAAGGCUAAAACUCAAAGGAAUUGACGGGGACCCGCACAAGCAGCGGAGCAUGUGGUUCAAUUCGACGCAACGCGAAGAACCUUACCUGGGCUUGACAUGUUGGUGACAGCCGUGGAAACACGGUCUCCCUUCGGGGCACCAUCACAGGUGGUGCAUGGCUGUCGUCAGCUCGUGCCGUGAGGUGUUGGGUUAAGUCCCGCAACGAGCGCAACCCCUGCCCCAUGUUGCCAGCGGUUCGGCCGGGGACUCAUGGGGGACUGCCGGUGACAAACCGGAGGAAGGUGGGGAUGACGUCAAGUCAGCAUGCCCCUUAUGUCCAGGGCUACACACGUGCUACAUUGGCCGCUACAGAGGGUUGCGAUACCGCGAGGUGGAGCGAAUCCCAAAAAGGCGGUCUCGGUUCGGAUUGGAGGCUGAAACUCGCCUCCAUGAAGGUGGAGUUGCUAGUAAUCGCGGAUCAGCAAUGCCGCGGUGAUAAUAUC